rnacentral:sRNA from 1 species
GCGUCGGAUGUCUCCUCCCAUUGCAUCCGAUGCGUUCCCCUCUGGAGGUUUUAAACCUUCAUUCUUGGCCGGACUUAACAGUCCGGCCUUU